AAAUAAAUUGCAUUCAUUGAAGAGUAAUACACAAAUCUGAAGCAUUUAGUGAGCCAGAUCGCAGAAUGAGUGAGAAAGCUUUAGAAGCACUGCUUUUUGAUUAUAAAGCCCAUGCUACGGGUUCAAAUUCUUUGGGUAAACCCAAAGACUCUGGGCCUGGGGACGGAAAAAAAAUCGGAUCUGGGAAAGGAAACGGAAACGGAAACGCAUGCAAACCGGAUUCGAAUGGGAAGAGAGGAUCCAAAUCUGGACAAGGGAAUGGGUCCAAGUAUUACUAAGGACAGAUUCAUCUAUGCAUCAUUGAGUUGGAAUUGAUUACAAGCUUUUACUGGAGAAGCAAGGACGUGUUCUUUGUUAGUUUGUUUAGUAUUUUUCUUUGUCUGACUAUCAUGUUUUUCAUCUUGCUGUAACCCAGCUUUUCAUCAUAUAUUGUUGUGCUUUUUAAUUUUAAUACUUUUUAUUUAUAUAUAUGCUGUUUCAGAACUUGGUUUAAAUUUUAAAGGGUGAGAUUUACAGUAUUUUCAGAUUUCUUUCUACUGUGACUUAGACUGUGCUUUGGAUCCGAUUAUGUUUGAAUUUACCCAUAAAAUAACCAAUUCAUACAAACUAAUCUGCAGUCUGAUGAUGAGUCUUCUUCGAACUGAGAAUAUCCACUGCCGAUAAUAGUGACUAAUCUCCUCGCUACGUUGGAGGCACCUCAAAGGGUGGGAUAACUGGCCCAAAAAUUUAACGCGGCUGCAUACACAAGACAGGAUUCGAACCCCUGACCUUGAUUAAGCAAUCCUUACCGCUGAACCAUACGCUUGGAGUUCAAUACAAAACUGAACUUACUAUUUAAUGAAUGAAAAAAAAAAUAUUUGUUUUUUUUCUUAAAAAAAACAUAUGUAAAAUUUACCAGCUAAGAGGAUAGAUGACAUUAUUAUAAAGUUGUUUUUUCAUUAAAAAAGAUGAUAAAGUAUACGUAUUUAUACUUAAUUCAAAAUACAUUAUAAUAUUUAACUCACUAACAUUGAAAAAUUGGUAAACAUGAUUAGGGUAGUUUUAUUUCGAGACUCUCAUGACAUGCCAAGGGCAAGGGCAUGUACACUUUGGCUCAUCAUAUUCAUGGCAUAAGACAUAUGCUCCAAAUGCAUGUGUGUGUGGACCAGGGAAUGGUCAAUUUCCAUGAGCUGGCAAUAUGUGGCUACUCUUAUUUAUUUAUUUUUUAUUAGUUUCUUUUUUGUUUGUUAGUGUUUUACAAAACUCAUCAUAGUCCAAAGCCCUCAUAAUGGUCAAUUGGUCAUACUCAUAAUGGACCAUACCCACUUCUCAUUUCCACUUUAUAAUGCACUUGUUGUGUAAUGGAGCAAUAAAAAGAAAAGACAGAUUCAAACAUGAAAUUUAUGAACUACUUAACAAAAACUUAAGCUGUAAAUGCAAGAAAAACAGAGUUUUAAAAGAAUGAAUUCUUUUACCUGCUCAAUUGAGAAUUAAGAAGACUCAGGACCGCAGAUUUAACUUUUCUGUAAAUUGGUUAUUUUAUAUGGUUGAUUCAAACUCAUGCAAAAGAAAACUGUAGAUAUCUGAAACCGCAUAAAGUAUACAUAUAAUAUUCAGAAUGAAACAUAACGAUAUAAAUAAAAGAUUUUUAUUAAAAUUAAUUUAUUCUUUUAAAAAUAUUUAAACAUAUUCUCAACAAAGGGGAAGCAGCACCGGUUGUGCCUCAUCCGAACCUUAAACAAAAGAUACAAUUGAAAGAGCCAAACAAGAAAAAGAAAAACUCCCAAACUCCUGACAUCCCUGUAGUACAAUGUACACGUACUUGCUUCCUUGCACAACUUUAGAUAAAGCAUCUGCAAGAUAGGAAUUUAAUACAAUAAGCAAGCAUGUAUAUAUAUAUAUAUAUAAUUAUAAAUUAAGGUAGCAAUUAUAUAUAAUCACCUGUGAUCAUGAAAUAAUGAUGUAUGAAAUCAUUUGGGGUUAGUCCCAGAGGCAAUGGUAUUAGAUUGGGGUUUAACAAUAUCAGCUUUAGGGGCCCUAAUAGAUCGCGUCCCAGUGGCUUUGGAUUUCCGUGGGGGUGACGGUGUCCACCAGCAUGAAGCUUUUUGAAGUUCCUUCUUCAUGGUAAUGUAGCUGUCCAAAUUGAAAGCCAUUGUGCCAACUUGCUAACUAACACUUCUUCACUUUGCUGUCGAUUCUUUUAUUAUCUGUGACUGUAAUGUGUUCAUUUAUAGGGAAAACUGCCCUCGUUAUUCAAUAACGUGAGAGGGUGUUUCGUAGAAUACGUGCAAAAUACCAUUCUUAAUUAGUCAUUGCUGCCUACCCUUGUCCUAUUAUAUCCCUCUUCCUAUUUGCAUUUUCAUUUCUUCUCUUAGAAACAUAAAAUGGGAUUUAAAGAGUUAAAUUGGAAAAGGAAAACAUUUUAAAUUAUAAAAAAAAAAUACACAAUCAAUCACUUGUGAGUUUUAUAUUUUAUAGAUGAUCAGGAAUUUCAAAUGAUCAGCGUAGAGGUUAAUAAAUAAUAACUCGUAACAAAAUGGGCUACAAUUUUAUCAAUAGGCUAAGAUCACUGUUUUUUUUUAUUUAUAUUUUAUUGUGUAAUCAUUAUUUAUUUACGAUAAUCAAAUUUGAAGUUUGAUUCAUAAAAAUAAAUGAGCUAUUUUUGGUCAACUUUUUACAUGACUGAUCAACCGUGGCGUGCAGUCGUGUACCGAAAACCUCGAUCGAUCUGGAUGGUCAAAUUAAAAAAGCAUUGAUAAAAGACAUUCUUGGUUAUAUGUGGAAAACGCGUUGCCAAUUUAACAAGAGUAUGACAUCGGGAAAUGACAAGGAAACAACAAAGUUGCUUCUCGUUCGUAUGGUUCCUGAUUUCAAUGCAUCAAUAAGCAGGGAAGUGAGGACUCAUCUUUUCAUCGCCUACAAGCGCUCUCACGUUGUCACUUUGAAUGGAGAGAUUUACAAGAAUUGUGAUCAAGUCUUUCUGGAGCUUCGUGGGAGAUAGAUCCACUCAUACCAAAAUAACUAUUAAAAAUUAAUAAUCUUAUUAUAUACUAUGAGAAAUGAGAAAAGAGAUCAUCUAUGCUAUUUAUUUAAAAAAUAAAUAAAAGUUAUACAAUUGUAAGUAGUGUACAUUUUCUUAAUUAUUGUUGUUUAUUGUAAUAAUUAAUGGUUGAGGUGAUUUGUCUUUCAUAUUGAAGAACUUUAUAAAUUAGAAGUUAAAGAAUUUUUGAGGA